rnacentral:rRNA from 1 species
UCGAGCGAGUCUGCCUUGAAGAUCGGAGUGCUUGCACUCUGUGAAACAAGAUACAGGCUAGCGGCGGACGGGUGAGUAACACGUGGGUAACCUGCCCAAGAGAUCGGGAUAACACCUGGAAACAGAUGCUAAUACCGGAUAACAACAGAUGAUGCCUAUCAACUGUUUAAAAGAUGGUUCUGCUAUCACUCUUGGAUGAACCUGCGGUGCAUUAGCUAGUUGGUAGGGUAACGGCCUACCAAGGCGAUGAUGCAUAGCCGAGUUGAGAGACUGAUCGGCCACAUUGGGACUGAGACACGGCCCAAACUCCUACGGGAGGCAGCAGUAGGGAAUCUUCCACAAUGGACGCAAGUCUGAUGGAGCAACGCCGCGUGAGUGAAGAAGGGUUUCGGCUCGUAAAGCUCUGUUGUUGGUGAAGAAGGACAGGGGUAGUAACUGACCUUUGUUUGACGGUAAUCAAUUAGAAAGUCACGGCUAACUACGUGCCAGCAGCCGCGGUAAUACGUAGGAGGCAAGCGUUGUCCGGAUUUAUUGGGCGUAAAGCGAGUGCAGGCGGCUCGAUAAGUCUGAUGUGAAAGCCUUCGGCUCAACCGGAGAAUUGCAUCAGAAACUGUCGAGCUUGAGUACAGAAGAGGAGAGUGGAACUCCAUGUGUAGCGGUGAAAUGCGUAGAUAUAUGGAAGAACACCGGUGGCGAAGGCGGCUCUCUGGUCUGUUACUGACGCUGAGGCUCGAAAGCAUGGGUAGCGAACAGGAUUAGAUACCCUGAUAGUCCAUGCCGUANACGAUGAGUGCUAAGUGUUGGGAGGUUUCCGCCUCUCAGUGCUGCAGCUAACGC